rnacentral:lncRNA from 1 species
CAAUUGAAUGGAGACAAGAUAAUGUCAAUACAAGCCAAAGUUGAAAUCCAGGUACCAAUGACUCAGCAGACCAAGGACAAAUCCCAGAAAAUGAAUAGCCUCGGUUUCAUCGUUUGAUUGAAGCUUAUCUCAGUUACAAGGAUAAUGCUCACCCACAUCCCACAGCAUGGGUUUCCCAAGGAUGUUUCAACACUUCCCAACUGCCCAGUUGCCAGAUUUGUCUCCAAUCAAGUUAAAUCCGAGACCAGCUCGGAUGCAACCUUCAGAAACCUCUAAGAGAGCAGGAUCUACAUGCCCAGCUGCAAUAUAUAGGUGGACCAAUGUUGUGUGAGGAGUCUAGCCCAAGAACUCUGAUAGUCAUCCAGAACUGGAAUUAAA